rnacentral:rRNA from 1 species
GUGGGGAAUCUUGCGCAAUGGGCGAAAGCCUGACGCAGCCAUGCCGCGUGAAUGAUGAAGGUCUUAGGAUUGUAAAAUUCUUUCACCGGGGAUGAUAAUGACGGUACCCGGAGAAGAAGCUCCGGCUAACUUCGUGCCAGCAGCCGCGGUAAUACGAAGGGGGCUAGCGUUGCUCGGAAUUACUGGGCGUAAAGGGCGCGUAGGCGGACAGCUUAGUCAGAGGUGAAAGCCCAGGGCUCAACCUUGGAAUUGCCUUUGAUACUGGCUGUCUUGAGUUUGGGAGAGGUGAGUGGAACUCCGAGUGUAGAGGUGAAAUUCGUAGAUAUUCGGAAGAACACCAGUGGCGAAGGCGACUCACUGGCCCAAUACUGACGCUGAGGCGCGAAAGCGUGGGGAGCAAACAGGAUUAGAUACCCGGGUAGUCC